UACGUAGGGUGCGAGCGUUAAUCGGAAUUACUGGGCGUAAAGCGUGCGCAGGCGGUGAUGUAAGACAGGUGUUAAAUCUUGAGGCUCAACCUCAAAAUCGCAGUCGAAACUAUUAGGCUAGAGUAUAGUAGGGGUAAAGGGAAUUUCCAGUGGAGCGGUGAAAUGCGUAGAGAUUGGAAAGAACACCGAUGGCGAAGGCACUUUACUGGGCUAUUACUAACACUCAGAGACGAAAGCUAGGGUAGCAAAUGGG
rnacentral:rRNA from 1 species